GAUGAACGCUGGCGGCGUGCCUAAUACAUGCAAGUCGAGCGAACGGACGAGAAGCUUGCUUUUCUGAUGUUAGCGGCGGACGGGUGAGUAACACGUGGAUAACCUACCUAUAAGACUGGGAUAACUUCGGGAAACCGGAGCUAAUACCGGAUAAUAUUUUGAACCGCAUGGUUCAAAAGUGAAAGACGGUCUUGCUGUCACUUAUAGAUGGAUCCGCGCUGCAUUAGCUAGUUGGUAAGGUAACGGCUUACCAAGGCAACGAUGCAUAGCCGACCUGAGAGGGUGAUAGGCCACACUGGAACUGGGACACGGUCCAGACUCCUACGGGAGGCAGCAGUAGGGAAUCUUCCGCAAUGGGCGAAAGCAUGACGGAGCAACGCCGCGUGAGUGAUGAAGGUCUUCGGAUCGUAAAACUCUGUUAUGAGGGAAGAACAUAUGUGUAAGUAACUGUGGACAGCGUGACGGUACCUAAUCAGAAAGCCACGGCUAACUACGUG
rnacentral:rRNA from 1 species